AUUGCCUGGAGAUCUUGUUGAAAAGCAGAUUCUGAUUCCGUAGGUCCAGGGUGGGACCUGAGAGUCUGCAUUUAUAACAAGCUCCCAGGUAUUGUUGG
rnacentral:pre_miRNA from 1 species